CGUGUAGGCGGCGGGUCAAGUCGAGUGUGAAAGCCCCGGGCUCAACCUGGGAAUUGCGCUCGAGACUGGUCUGCUUGAGUUCGGGAGAGGAGAGUGGAAUUCCCAGUGUAGAGGUGAAAUUCGUAGAUAUUGGGAAGAACACCGGUGGCGAAGGCGGCUCUCUGGACCGAUACUGACGCUGAGGCGCGAAAGCGUGGGGAGCAAACA
rnacentral:rRNA from 1 species